rnacentral:rRNA from 1 species
GAUGAACGCUGGCGGCGUGCCUAAUACAUGCAAGUAGAACGCUGAAGGAGGAGCUUGCUCUUCUGGAUGAGUUGCGAACGGGUGAGUAACGCGUAGGUAACCUGCCUGGUAGCGGGGGAUAACUAUUGGAAACGAUAGCUAAUACCGCAUGACAACAGUUAUUGCAUGAUAACUGUUUAAAAGGGGCAACUGCUCCACUACCAGAUGGACCUGCGUUGUAUUAGCUAGUUGGUGAGGUAACGGCUCACCAAGGCGACCAUACAUAGCCGACCUGAGAGGGUGAUCGGCCACACUGGGACUGAGACACGGCCCAGACUCCUACGGGAGGCAGCAGUAGGGAAUCUUCGGCAAUGGACGGAAGUCUGACCGAGCAACGCCGCGUGAGUGAAGAAGGUUUUCGGAUCGUAAAGCUCUGUUGUAAGAGAAGAACGAGUGUGAGAGUGGAAAGUUCACACUGUGACGGUAUCUUACCAGAAAGGGACGGCUAACUACGUG